GCCAGGUGCUGUGGCACAUGGCUGUAGUCCCAGCUACUCAGGAGGCUGAGGCUGGAGGAUCGCUUGAGCCCAGGAGUUCUGGGCUGUAGUGCGCUAUGCCGAUCGGGUGUCCGCACUAAGUUCGGCAUCAAUAUGGUGACCUCCCAGGAGUAGGGGACCACCAGGUUGUCUAAAGAGGGGUGAACUGGCCCAGGUCGGAAACAGAGAAGGUCAAAACUCCCGUGCUGAUCAGUAGUGGGAUCACACCUAUGAAUAGCCACUGCAUUCCAGCCUGGGCAACAUAGUGAGACCCAUCUCUA
rnacentral:SRP_RNA from 1 species